CAACUAGAUUAUGUUUCUUCUUUUUCCCCAGACAGUUCUGCAAAAUCAAAAAUAACUUUGUGGGAAGAAUUUGAAGAAAAGUUUGAACCUUAUCUAUACAAUGGCUCUCACCCUUACAUUGUCAUACAAUUUUCAAACUUUAUGAACAUGGAUUUCAGUUCACAUUAUUUUGUCGGUAAGAAGUUCAAAAUGUCGCGUAUGUUAUAUUUUAGCAAUUACUCCAAACUGUUAGUUGUUGGUUUUUUUUAUUAAUGCUUUCCCUUCUUCCAUACAAUAUAAAUCCCUUUUGGUCAUUGGUUAUCAAUACAUGAAAAAUAAAUUCAUAAUCUUGGCAGUCAGAGCUGAAUCAUAUGUAGUUUUUGUCUAAGGGAUAUGGCAGCUGAUGCUAGAAAGAAAAGAAGUGCUAUUUGGUAAUUUACAUACUCUAUGCAUGUUGCACCUCACACUAAAUUUUACCUUCUAAUUAUAAAAGUCCAUAAAGUAAGCAUCUUCAUGAUUCAUCUUAGUAGUAAAUAACUAAGUUAACCAUGUAUUAAAUCAGUAAAGAAAAUCACAACAAUAUGGCUUUUCAUUCCCUGGCUGCUAAUCCUACAUCUACAACCAUUCUUAAUUUUUCUUUCCUUUUGUUCUUCUGCCUACCACCCUUUCAUAGAGUUUGGAAAGCUCAACUUUAGGCCCCAACAUGUUAACGUGCUCCUAUUACAAUUUGCUCCCCGUAGACCAUUCUUGCAAGUCGCAUCGCCCUUGCCGAUAGAGCAGUACCUAAGGCAAGGCUAGAGCCAGAAAUCAAGUUGUCUUUGCCUAUUGCUCGAUCAAACUAACCUCUUCUCUCCUCCUAUCAACACCACAUUAGCACUUUAGUUGCCACUUCUUUGCGGCAUACAUGUUGACAUCUCUGCCUGUUCAGGACUACCUCCUAGGACAACAACAACUCAAGUUUCCUUUGGAUAUAAAAAAGAAUUCAAUUGUUCCUGCCUGGAUAUGAGCGUCUCUGCAUGUAAUAUCAAGCAAAAACUCAUACUACAGUAUUUAUGAGUGUGUACAUUGUCAUGUCCCCAAACACCUUAGUAAAGUUGUUCUAAUAGAGUGGGUACAUUAUGGAUUUCAAGGUUGUGCAAGUAGGAGUAAUUGUUUUCCCCUAACUAUAUGUUAUGAAGUCUGAUUUUUUUAUCUUGAAAUACUAUGACUUUGUCGUAUUUCUGAAUU